GAUGAACGCUGACAGAAUGCUUAACACAUGCAAGUCAACUUGAACUUCGGUUUGGGUGGCGGACGGGUGAGUAACGCGUAAAUAACUUGCCUCACAGAUAGGGACAACAUUUGGAAACGAAUGCUAAUACCUGAUAUUAUGAUUAUAUGGCAUCGUAUAAAUAUGAAAGCUAUAUGCGCUGUGAGAGAGCUUUGCGUACCGUUAGCUAGUUGGAGAGGUAACGGCUCACCAAGGCGAGGAUGGGUAGCCGGCGCGAGAGGGUGAUCGGCCACAAGGGGACUGAGAGACGGCGCUUAGUACUACGGGAGGCAGCAGUGAGGAAUAUUGGACAAUGGACCAAGAGUCUGAUCCGGCAAUUCUGUGUGCACGAUUAAUUUUUUCGGAAUGUAAAUUGCUUACAGUUGGGAAGAAACAAAGGACGGUACCAACAGAAGAAGUGACGGCUAAUUACGU
rnacentral:rRNA from 1 species